rnacentral:tRNA from 1 species
GGGGAUGUAGCUGAGUGGCAGAGCACUUGCCUAGCAAGCACAAGGUCCUGGGUUUGAUCCUCAGCAUCACAA